UACCGUACAAGCGGUCCGUCC
rnacentral:miRNA from 1 species